ensembl:lncRNA
CAAAGAGCGCAGGAGCUUUCAAACUGCUGCAGCCUCACGCCGAGUUGGGUACCGGAGAGGGGCCGGCGGGGGCCUCGCUAGUGGAGCCCAGCCGGGCUAGCAGCGGCUCAACGUGGUCUGGCUCGUUCCCACUCUCCGUACGUAGACGCGGGGAUCGAACUCGUGGCUGAAGACAGCUAGCUGAGCCCAAGAGAGUUGAUCCACAGUUUGGUGUGUGAGACAUAUGCCAACCCUCCAGUUGGGACACUAGCAAGUUGGAUUUAGCCUGCCACUUACCCCCUCAGCGUGACCGGCCCAGGACGUAUGGGCUGCCGCUCUCAUUCCAACAGGCUGGAAGUUGAAUCUCUUUCCACUUUGACAAGGGAGACACUCCUCUGCUGUGCCAUUUCCUUCCUGUUCCUCUCCCACAAAGAGCUGCAAGCCUGAAAAGAGUGGAUCUUUCUAUGUCUCUGAUGACCAGGACAGCAUCCUGCAGCCACUUUUGGUCUGGAGCUGUGGUGACUCCAGAAAGGGCCAUGGCUACUACAGGCAACCCUGGGACACAAAACUAGCAGAGGUUUAACCUCUUUGCUUGCACGGCAUGCCCUCUUGUGCCACGGAUACUACCUCUGUUACUACCCACCAAGUGCCUUGUCUCCUUAACUGGCUUCUGGAACAGGAGUAAUGUCACUAGGGUUCUUGUGGGAGGAACAUGGCCCAGCUGGCUGCGCUAGCAGGAGUCCCGACUAAGGAUGUAGCUACAGAACACUAGCGCAAAAAAGCAGAUCGGGAGGGGCUUUGAUCCAUGCCCCUUGUCCUGCCGAGUGAGCGAUGGGCCGCUUGGAUGACCAUGCCAAGAAGCGGAUAGUGGAGCUGCGCAAAGCCGGGCUGAGCUUCCGCAAAAUCAAGAAAGUCCUAGAGCUGGACAAUAUCCGGGUGACCCCGCAAGCUGUCUACCUGUUCCUCAAGCGUAAGAAUGUGGAGCCGGCACAGCCUCCAGGAGCCUCCCAUUUCCAACCAGCUGGAGGCCGGGGGAGCAGGAGAAUGGCCAUCAGCCGGGCUGGCUGGGAGGAUGAGCAGCUCUGGAACUUGCUGCAGGAAAAUGAGGCUGAUCAGAACAAGCAGGCAGAGCCCAAAGGCAGCAGGCAGUCAGGUCCCAGGACCCCAGCACUCCCCGGAAGAGCCACCGUGAGCUGCAAGGAGCCACACCUCAAUGACAACCAAGACUGCAAGGAUGGCAUCAAAAUAGUCAGCGUGACAUCACUGUGGAAGGAUAGUGGGCAGUUUGGGAAGGUGCCUACAGUGCCCAUGGGCCCAUCUCCAGCAGCACAGCUAUCCCCUAUUAACAGUGACGACUGCUCUGGGACUCUGACCUCAGCUGUGGGUAACCACCCGGCUCUGCUCCCACCAGCCAUGGCGCAGCAGCAGCUGAACACCAGGGGCAGGAUGUUCUUGUCGCCUGCCAGGAAUCCAGCCUUAAUUGUGAAGAAGAAGAUUGUGGACAGGGCCAUCCACCUCCAGAAAAAGGUCAAAGAUGCCAGCACCCAAACAGCCUUGCUUCACUCUGCAUGUUCUUCAGGCAAUCAGAACCCUGUGUUGGGUGGGCAGAUGCUGGCCCCCUCACCCACUUCCCAUGCCAUUGCCGAGAAGCUGGAUGCUGUACACAAACAGGUGCAGAAACUGACACAUGCAAUGCAUGCAGUGCUAGAGAGGCAGUGCCACAUGGAGCGCCAGCAGGAGCAGCAGCAGCAUUUCCAGCAAGAGGUGCUGAUGGCGCUUCAGCAGCUCAGCUCCACCGUGAGCCAUGGGACAAUGCCAGGAAACGAGCCCUGUGUCCCCUUCAGCAGCAUGGCUGAUCCCUCGCCCCCUGUGCCAAACUUCAGCCAGUUCAGGAUGGAGCUAAUCUGAUGAAAGGCUGAUGCCAACAUUCAUGGGCCUGGGCAUAAGAGUGGCCUGGAGCUAGCUCUGGACAAAGUAGCUGGCAUGGGCCACCCUAGCUGAAAUAUAAAGGGAUCUCAAAACAGGCAGCUGCAGCUGAGUGAAGAGAAGCAGGCAUUAGCACUUCAAAAACUGCAGCUCUAAGAGCCUGGCUAAGGUCCUGCUACUGCAAUAACAGAAGACUGGGAGGAGGAAGGCCACCAGUAACACCGAGACUCAGUCUGCUUUGGCCUAGUUAAUCCAGCCCUCCUGCCCCCAGGAAGAGGCAUAUACCAAUGGGAAGCUGAAACAUGCCAAUAGAAAGCCUUAAUUCUAGCCACUGUAUACAGGAAAUUAAAUACUGGUUUAGCCCCCAAGGCCCAGGCCCAAAGGAUAUGGAACUCCAGCAGCUUAGAGAAGCUGUCUACAGCCAAGCACCAUGCUACAUUAGAAGGAAAACAUGGCGGCAGGCAUCAUUCUCUCCUUGGCAGGGCAAGCAUUUAAUAUUUACACAGGGAAGGGAGCUUGAGCAUUAGAAUGUCCAGGAGCUUGGGUUUUGGAUGUUUUGUGCUUCUUCUUUCAGAGUGGUAUAUGGAGAGUAAACUAAUCUCAGUAAAGUCUAUACACCCACUGCUCUAGAAACAGACUGGACUCUUAUGUGGCAUGCUGUUUUUUUUUCCAUACACCAACCUCCCUAUAAGAGUAUGACUCCAUGGUAAUGAGAGACCAGCUGUAAUCGCACCUAUCUACAGCUAAAGUACUGGAACAGUGAAGCCAGGGCGGUGCAUGCUGCAGGGUAGGCUAGCUGCAGGGAUAAUGAGCCAGUGUUCCAGGCAAGCUUGUACCCCUACACCAGCCACACUCAUGCUCCAGGAUUGAUGGAGGGUGGAGGAUUCUCCUGCAAUGACCAAAAUUUAUGGAAUAAGGAGCAGAGGUGGGAACUGCUUGUUUCAUUGCACUUCAGGCCAAGUACUAGUAAGUCCUCUCCCUGUCCCAGAGAAACCAAGGAUAGCUGUGGCAGUUGACCACAACUUAAACAGUCCCGUUCUUCCAUUGCUGCAUUUGGGUUGCUGUACAAUAAAAAAUAUCUGAAUACA